GCCUCGGUGGUGUGGUGGUAGUAGCAAGUGUCCCUGGUAUGGAAGGAACGCAGGUUCGAUUCCCGCCUAAGGUC